CAGCAGCCACGGGAAUUCGAAGGGGGCUAGCGUUGUUCGGAUUUACUGGGCGUAAAGGGCGCGUAGGCGGACUGAUAAGUCAGGGGUGAAAUCCCAAGGCUCAACCUUGGAACUGCCUUUGAUACUGUUUGUCUUGAGUUCGAGAGAGGUAAGUGGAACUGCGAGUGUAGAGGUGAAAUUCGUAGAUAUUCGCAAGAACACCAGUGGCGAAGGCGGCUUACUGGCUCGAAACUGACACUGAGGCGCGAAAGCGUGGGGAGCAAACAGGAUUAGAUACCCCGGUAGUCCCUGUCUCUUAUAC
rnacentral:rRNA from 1 species